AAAAACAACAGAUAUAUUGCUUAUCAUAUGUAUAUAUGUGUCUCAUCGCUGCAUAUUAACUUCAUGCAUGUAUGUAUAAUAUAAGCCAUCCCCAUAAAACCCCCUAAAUCAAUUAACUUUACAUAAAUAUAAAUUAGGUUGUUUUCUCUCAUAUUGUACUCUUGUAUGAGUGAAGAGAAAAACAACUUGUAACCUUCUCAAGGAGAGAAGGAUAUUAAUGAGUUCAAUAUGAUACAUGAAUAAAAGUCCUUCUAUCUCAAAACUGACAUAACCAGAAACUAAAUGUUACAUGACAAUGAUUGCACACAUAUGAAACAUAAAUUAGUCAACAGCUUCAGUUGAAAUGCCAUGUAAGAACAAAUACAUGAAGUAUAAAGCAUUGUCUGUAUAGAUAGCAGUCAGUGGUAUACAUAUCAUUUUAUUUGACUGGGCAUAAACACACAAAUCCAUGCAUUGAUCAAAUCAGAUCAUUAUAUUAAACUGUCAUUUAUACUUUGGUUUUGUUUGCUGCCCAUGUAAAUAUUUUUAAACAAUGGGCCUGGUCUUUGUACAUGUACAUAUAGCAUGUAUAUACAUGUUUGCUACAUUCUCUUGAACUAAAAUAAAACCACAAUUGGACAAUUAAAUGACCAUCCUGAUAAUUUCAAUAUAACAUGAUAGACUAUACUCCAAAAUUAGUUUUUAACACAUUUUUUUUGCACACUCUGAUAAGAUAUCAAUUUAAUUUGCUGUAAAUAACAAGACGACCACAAAAUGAAAGAUCAAUUAAAAAUAAUAUAUAUUCAUAUAUAAUAUCUUUGCAAUAUAUUCUCUCAGUUGUAGACAGAAAGACCGUCCUUGGAAUAGUAUGUCGAAAACUCCACUGUUCUCUCUAUGGUUUCAUAUUAGGAUGAAAUUCUAUUAAUCUGCAUAUCACAUCCAGAUAUACGGGACACAGACAAUUUUUUCUCACAAGGCAAAGGCAAUUUAUAGCAAAUGAAAAAAAAAGGUAAUAUAUUACUGGAAACAUAUUAUCAUGAUGCAAUUUUUCCUUUCAUGUUGUAAUUUGAAGCAUUUGGGGAAAAGUUAUGGGUAGGACUUACCUAUUGAACUAUACUAAUGAAUGAUUAUAAAACAAGCAA